GCCGUCUUAGCUCAGUUGGCAGAGCAUUCCCAUGGUAAGGGAAAGGCCCUGGGUUCAAAUCCCAGAGACGGCUCCA
rnacentral:tRNA from 1 species